rnacentral:rRNA from 1 species
AGAGUUUGAUCAUGGCUCAGAGUGAACGCUGGCGGCGUGCCUAACACAUGCAAGUCGAACGAGAACGGAUAUAAGUUUACUUAUAUUGUCAGCUAAGUGGCGCACGGGUGAGUAAUAUAUAGUUAAUCUGCCCUGAAGAAGAGAAUAAUUGUUGGAAACGACUUGUAAUGCUCUAUAUGCCUUUAUCACAUAAGUGAGCAAGGGAAAUAUUUAUAGCUUCGGGAUGAGACUGUACGGCAUCAGCUAGUUGGUGAGGUAAUGGCUCACCAAGGCUAUGACAUCUAACUGGUUUGAGAGGAUGAUCAGUCACACUGGAACUGAGACACGGUCCAGACUCCUACGGGAGGCAGCAGUGGGGAAUAUCGCACAAUGGAGGAAACUCUGAUGCAGCAACGCCGCGUGGAGGAUGACACAUUUCGGUGCGUAAACUCCUUUUAUUAGGGAAGAUAAUGACGGUACCUAAUGAAUAAGCACCGGCUAACUCCGUGCCAGCAGCCGCGGUAAUACGGGGGGUGCAAGCGUUACUCGGAAUCACUGGGCGUAAAGAGCAUGUAGGCUGAUUAGUAAGUUGGAAGUGAAAUCCUAUGGCUCAA